CAUGUUAAUUCUACCACUCAUUUGAAUUGUUUCAUUUUGGCAUUCCACAGUAGUUCAACUGAAUUUGAUUUUUAUAUAUAGAAAUCAGACAAUCUAAGUUUGAUUUCUAUAGUACAAAUUGAUACAAUGGUGUGAGUUUGAUAGAUAUUUCUCAAAAAGUGAGUCAUUUAUUUUAUCAAACUCAAGAGUUCAAUAUAUUGAAUCAAUAAUUGGAAUCACCCUCAUAAACUUAAAUUUUCUAGUUUAUUAUGGGAGUUUGAUUCAUAUUGCUGACACACCCCGACCCGGGAUGUCUACCAAGACUCCUAAUCGAGCUUUGCUGGCCAACACUUGGAGGGUGAUGAAACCAUAAAGUAUGAUGAUGUGGAAACAUGUGAAUAAAUUGAAUUUCUGAGCAUGCAUGUAAGGGUGGGCAAGGUCUUGUUCGCCCUAGUUGAACCCUUACAUUGGAACCAGAAUAAAAAAGUAUCAACGGUUCGGUUCGGUUUGCUUAUGUUUAAAUUUAUUAGUAAAAUCAAUUGGGUUCCUACUUGUUUACAAUUCUAACCAAAAUUAUAUUUAUAUCUUUUCAAAUCUUCUACUUCCUUGUUUUUUGUGCCCCCCAGUACCUAGCUAGACCAUGCUAUACAUACACAAAUAUGUGCUAGCAAGAAACAUAAAUCCAAAUAAUGACUAACAAUACUACUUCCUGCAACACUCUUUAAUAAAAUAAAUUCUAAUAUUGUUAAACCAUAACAUCAAGCAAAGCACAUAGGGAAGAAAACUUAUGUUUGGGGUAUUAUGAGAUGGAGGCUACGUGUUGGGAUAAUGGAUGAGGAGAAGAACUGAAGGAAAAAAAAAAUGAAAAGAGAAGAAUUGAAGAAAAAUGGGAAAGUGGAGUGAUGCAAAAGAAGAGAGGAAGAUAUGAGGAAAAAACGAUAAUGUCAACUUUAAGGGGUUUUGAGAGUUCUGCCAAAAUAAAAAUAGGAAUUGGAACCAAUUAGAACGGUUUGGUUCGGCUCUUGAACUUAUGUUGACUUUUUUUUGUUAACACGGUUUUUACGUUUUAUUUUGUCGCGACUCGAUUCGGUUUCGUAGUUCCACAAUUUUUAUGUCACCCCUACAUGCAUGUCAAAUAAUCUUGUCGGAGGAGGAAGGAACCAACCUUUUAUGUAUGGACCUCUCUAUGAAAGGAGGAGAACACCCUUGCUUUGUAGUUCAUCUAUUUCCCGAACAGUAUUGAAAUACUGAAAUUUGUUUGAAAUUAUGGAAUUCGGACAUAUUGAGGUUCGGUUUCAAUUUUCGAAAUCAUAUCCCAUAAAGAAUCAAUUCGAGAUUCAGUAUAACGUUUUCAAAUAGGAUCUCGACCCAAAACACCCCUGGUUCAGAGAGUCAGACAGUUUUACUCCUAAAAAUAGGAAAAGGAUCGAUGACUCCGUGAUCGUGGUUAUUUAUCGUAUAUUGUGCGGUUAGAAAUCAUUUGAAAUUUAAAAUUUAAAAUUAAAUAUAAAUAGUGUUUGUACCAUACUUGACCAAUCCUGAAACUACUGAGCACCGGUCAACGUUAUACCGUCAAAGACCCAGAAGAGUUUCCCUCCAACCAGGAGGCUAAUCACAGGGCGACACGUGUCGACAUCAGAAGCCAAUCAUAACGCGACACGUGUCAACAUCAGAAGCCAAUUACAACACGACACGUGUCAAUGUCAGAAUGGAACUAGAAACUCUCUUCUAUAAAUAGAGAUCAUUCUCUCACAAUAUUUCCUAAUGUGAUUUGUACUAAAUCAUUCACUAGUACUCACUAAAGGAGAGCUUGAACCUAUGUACUUGUGUAAACCCUUCACAAUUAAUGAGAACUCCUCUACUCCGUGGACGUAGCCAAUCUGGGUGAACUAUGUACAUCUUGUGUUUGUUUCCCUGUCCCUAUCUAUUUACUUACUUAUCCACACUAGUGACCAGAGUAAUCUAGCAAAGGUCACAAACUUAACACUUUUUGUUGUACCAAGGUCCUCACUGAUUUUGUGCAUCAACAAAUAGUAUCUAACAAAAACUGACAGCACGAUGUACGAUAAACAGCCACGAUCAUGAAAAUGAUCUGGUGAGCCCUAAAAGGAAUAUGUAAAUGUCAUUUCCUUUUGCCAAGUAGCACAACUUUAUUUUUUUUCCCAAAAAUUUCAUUAAUAAAAAUCCAAUGCGGUUGUCGUUUUAGGCACGUCCUCCAAAAAUAGGUUACAUAUUUAAUUCAAGAUUUUGCACAACUUGUGAAAGAAAGUCGCGGUGCCACGGCGGAGUGCCCUAAGAGCAAGUCCAUCCUUGCUAAUUGCUGGGGGGACGGGCUGCAGGAAAGGGCCCGAGGGCCGAUUGGUUC
rnacentral:lncRNA from 1 species